rnacentral:rRNA from 1 species
AUGCAACCUACCUUUAUCUGGGGGAUAGCCCGGAGAAAUCCGGAUUAAUACCGCAUAAAAUCACAGUAUUGCAUAAUACAAUGAUCAAACAUUUAUGGGAUGAAGAUGGGCAUGCGUGUCAUUAGCUAGUUGGCGGGGUAACGGCCCACCAAGGCGACGAUGACUAGGGGAUCUGAGAGGAUGACCCCCCACACUGGUACUGAGACACGGACCAGACUCCUACGGGAGGCAGCAGUAAGGAAUAUUGGUCAAUGGAGGCAACUCUGAACCAGCCAUGCCGCGUGCAGGAAGACUGCCCUAUGGGUUGUAAACUGCUUUUAUCCGGGAAUAAACCUAUUUACGAGUAAAUAGCUGAAUGUACCGGAAGAAUAAGGAUCGGCUAACUCCGUGCCAGCAGCCGCGGUAAUACGGAGGAUCCAAGCGUUAUCCGGAUUAAUUGGGUUUAAAGGGUGCGUAGGCGGCCCGUUAAGUCAGGGGUGAAAGACGGUAGCUCAACUAUCGCAGUGCCUUUGAUACUGACGGGCUUGAAUGAACUAGAGGUAGGCGGAAUGAGACAAGUAGCGGUGAAAUGCAUAGAUAUGUCUCAGA